UACAGAGGGGGCAAGCGUUGUUCGGAAUUACUGGGCGUAAAGGGCGCGUAGGCGGCCCUCUAAGUCGAACGUGAAAUCCCCGGGCUCAACCCGGGAACUGCGUCCGAUACUGGAAGGCUUGAAUCCGGGAGAGGGAUGCGGAAUUCCAGGUGUAGCGGUGAAAUGCGUAGAUAUCUGGAGGAACACCGGUGGCGAAGGCGGCAUCCUGGACCGACACUGACGCUGAGGAGCGAAAGCCAGGGGAGCAAACGGG
rnacentral:rRNA from 1 species